CUGACACUGGUCAGCUCUUUGGUGAUCGUGUCCAGCCGCUGCCUCAGCUGACGGACCUCAUCGCGCGCUCUGUUGCGUUCUGCACGAACCUGUGAAACAUAGUCACUGAUCAGCCCCAGGCUCACUGCUUUCUCUAAAGACGAACUACAUCGCUUCAGGAUCACCACAGCCGCAUGCCGAGUCUGCCGAGAUGACCUAAUCAAAUUAAACUCAAUACAGCGAUAUUUCAAUCUG